rnacentral:rRNA from 1 species
AGAUAAUAGAUACCCAGGUAGUCCACGCCGUAAACGAUGGAUGCUAGAUGUUUCCGGUAUUGACCCCGGAGGUGUCGUAGCUAAACGCGUUAAGCAUCCCGCCUGGGGAGUACGGCCGCAAGGCUAAAACUCAAAGGAAUUGACGGGGGCCCGGCACAAGCGGUGGAGCAUGUGGUUCAAUUCGACGCAACGCGAAGAACCUUACCUGGGUUGGAACCCUCCAGAAGUCCGCAGAGAUGUGGAUGUGCCCGCAAGGGAGCUGGAUGUCCAGGUGCUGCAUGGCUGUCGUCAGCUCGUGUCGUGAGAUGUUGGGUUAAAGUUCCCGCAACGAGCGCAACCCUUGUCGUUAGUUGCCAGCGGUUCGGCCGGGCACUCUAACGAGACUGCCGGUGUUAAACCCGGAGGAAGGUGGGGAUGACGUCAAGUCCUCAUGGCCCUUAUGCCCAGGGCUACACACGUGCUACAAUGGCCGGUUA